CAACUGGGAUCUGAAAAUAUUAAAUGGAAAAGUACAAAAAAAAAUGCAUAGGUUUAUAAAUUAUUUGCCGUUCUCAGGAGCAAUGACAUCUCAGGUGUCCUGCUCAGUCCCAUCAAUGACUUGAAUCAUCCCUUUGUCCUACAUCCCCACGCUGUAUAAGUUCCCGCCCUUAGUCACUUCUGGUGGCCACAACACAGUGCUGUAUUCAAAUGCCUUCUAGAUGUCCUCUAACUCCAUUUUUUAUCUGAAGAAAAAUUGUAUUUUCUUUCUUCUUCCCCUACUUUCUUCCCUCUUUUCCUCUCCAUCCCCAAGCACUUACACGUUCUUAUCCCUGUAUCACAGGGAACUAGAGAGCUGAUUACUGGCAAACGGUUGCACCUUUCUCUGAGUGUGGUGAUUAAUGGCCAAAAGAUGCUAAAUGUGAAACAGUAAUUUGGUAAAGCUCUCGGGAGCCUAGUGCUAAGAACUUCUCAAAGGGGACAACUUAGUGAGAAAAAAUGGAAAAUAAACACACACAGUGUAAGACUUAGGCUGCAUAUAUAAGGUGAUGUGGGGGCGGAGUGGUAUUUUGUUUGGUGUUUUCUCCAUUGUAAGGCCUUAUUACCUGAGAUAAGUAAAAUUGUCUUCCUGCACAUAAACUUAGGAGGUUGAAUAUCCAAAAGAAUACAUGGGUCUAGGCUAGAAGAAUUUGAGUGACUGAAAUGAAGAAUUAAAAACCAAUGUUGCAUGAUGAUAAGAUCAUCAAAAUAUUCUUCUGUUGUAAGAAAUCUUGGUGCUUAGUAAAAAACAAAAGCAAAAGCAAAACAACUGGUAGAAAGUUGUGGGUUCAUUUUGCCUGACUGUGCCAGUUUCCCAAAUUGACUGAAUGAGGCGAUUUUCUGAGUACGUACUACAUGAAAUAUUUUAAGUUGUAAGAAGUAUUUUUUUAUUUUGAUUUUGUUGUGUUUUGUUUUGCUGUUAAGAUUUUGGCUUCACAGAACCUCAUCGAAGAGUUGAAAUCUUGUUGUCUUGAUUUAAAAGACCAUGAUAGUAAACUAAAUAAAUCACUCUAAGUGAAAAGGAGAUGCCAACAGGACAUGGAGAACCCAAAGUUUUAAUAACAUUUUAUGUUUACUUUGUAAACUCAGCUAAGAUUCAUUUCUUGCUGACAGUUGUUUUAGAAGCCAAAGAAAUAAAUUUGUCUUGGGCACAAUUGUUAUGAAUUUUAUUUUUACAGAAUCUGUAUUUUUCCUCUUUAGUUGUCAUGGCUUUCUGGGUUCUGUGUAGUGCACCCACAUUCCCCAAUCAUAUUGUCUCCAGACAGAAAUAAAGAGUUUGUAGAAAAUUAAAACACCGUUGGCAUUAGGAAAAAAGAAGGAAAUCACAAAAUCUCUCAUUUUUUUCUUGCCCUUCUCUAAGGGCGCGCACAGCCCAUGGAAUCCACUUGAGAGUAAAUCAGUAAUUGCCAUCGCAAGCUUUGCAUUCAUUCGGUCUCCAGGUAAGGCACCACAGCAGGCAUCCUCUGAUCUUCCCCUCAAACAAAAUAAAAUUUAAUCUUUUUGUUUCUUAAAUCUC